GACGAACGCUGGCGGCGUGCUUAACACAUGCAAGUCGAACGGAAAGGCCUGCUUUCCCUUGUGGAUUGCGGGUACUCGAGUGGCGAACGGGUGAGUAACACGUGAGUGAUCUGCCCCCAACUUGGGUAUAAGCCUGGGAAACUGGGUCUAAUUCCCGAUAGGACUUCAGGGUGGUGCCUGUGGUGGAAAACGAUUUUCUAGUGGAUGGGGAUGAGCUCGCGGCCUAUCAGCUUAUUGGUGGGGUAAUGGCCUACCAAGGCGGCUACGGGUAGCCGGCCUGAGAGGGUGGACGGCCACAUUGGGACUGAGAUACGGCCCAGACUCCUACGGGAGGCAGCAGUGGGGAAUAUUGCACAAUGGGCGGAAGCCUGAUGCAGCGACGCAGCGUGGGGGAUGACGGCCUUCGGGUUGUAAACUCCUUUCGACCGCGAGGAAGCCACCUGGUUGGAAGGGUGGUGACGGUAGUGGUAGAAGAAGCACCGGCUAACUACGUG
rnacentral:rRNA from 1 species